CAUUUUAUUGUCGACCGUCCGAUUACAAUCGGAGGGUCAUUCUAGCCCCUUUUCUAAAUUUCUUUUGCUAUAUGUAGUAGACACCCCUUUGUCCAUUUGUAGCCUAACCCUAAAAUCUAGGGGAUCUACCUCAUCCAUUCCGUGUCCGCCGCCGCCACCAACUCACCAUCUACCUCGGGAUCCCUUCUGAUCCUGAAUCCACCAAUCAAUAGCCCCCUCCAUCCACCAGCGCCUCCUCUGCUCAAUCCCGAGGGGAUCACGAGCAGCUCGCCACUGGUUGCAAGCAGCAGCACCAGCAGGACCCCGUCGCCCCUUCCCAUCUUCUUCUCCUUCAUCCCUCCUUCCUCUGGUUCUCUCCAUCGUCUCUCAUGCCUCUCCCUCCCUGUUCCAGGAAUAGCCAUGGAUGGCCGCAGCUCCCUCUCCGCCGUUUGCACCAAGCCCAGCCAGGAGACGGAUGAAUUCGUCCUCCUGCGUCCAUCCCCGCGUCCCGCUCGUCCCGGAGCUCCCCUACACCACCUCGCUGGAGAUGCCACAUCCUCUGCUUCCUCUUGCGCCUACAGCAGCACCCGAGCACCUGCUUCUCCUCUCGUGUGCCUCGUUAGACUGGCUGCUGCCAGCGACCCAGACCAGGCGCCAUCAGAAGGGAACUCAAGGACCCGCCAUGGAUGGUUUGUGCCACCGCCACCGAUCACGUUCCUCGCCGGAUCCGGUGACCUCCGCCUCGGAUCCGCCGGCUCCGUCCCGUUCUGGGUCUUCCCCGCCUCAAGCUGCGUCGCCCUCGCCGGAGACCCCGUGCAAGUUCCUGCCGAUGCCUCCCCUGCGUCCUCUCCAUCACGUCGUCCCUGUCUUCCCUGCUCCAGAUCGAAUGCCACUCCGCGCCGCCGGCCAAGUCCCUCAACCCACUGAUCGGAGCCACCUCCUUGUCGUUCCCUCGCCGGACCUCCUCUGCUUCACCUACCGCGCCGCCGUUGCCAGUCGUCGGCCUCGCCCUCUACUUCGAGCCGCGUCGAGCUUUUCAGCAAGGACGCCAGCUCCCGCUCGACCAGGUUGACUUGAUCGAGUCAACCACCAGAUCCGCGCACGCUUGGGCCAGCCUCGCCUCGGCCCAGCUGGCUCUGCAUGCCCAACACCUCCACCGACCUGGGUGAAGCCGUUGAGCAGCCCAGCUGCCCAGUGCUUGAUCAGAUUCGGCCUGAUCUCAGGCAAGAUGACCAUUACCCUCGAUAUCACUUCUAUCUUUGCUUUCUAGUUGUUCGCUCCACCACUAUGUUGUGCUAGCUACCACUUGUUUAUCAUGCCUCCCAUAUUUCCAUGUCAAGCCUCCAACCCACCUUCCUAGCAAACUGUUGUUUGGCUAAGUUACCGCUUUUGCUCAGCCCCUCUUAUAGCGUUGCUAGUUGUAGGUGCCUUGCAGGUUGUUCCAUGUUGGAACAUGGAUAUGUUGGGAUAUCACAAUAUCUCUUAUUUUAAUUAAUGAUCUAUAUACAUGGCAAAGGGUGGAAGGCUUGGCCUUUUGCUCGGUGUUUUGUUCCACUCUUGCCGCCCUAGUUUCCAUCAUACCAGUGUUAUGUUCCUUGAUUUUGUGUUCCUUACGUGGUCGGUGUUAUGGGACCCCCUUAACAAUUCGCUUUGAAUAAAAAUCCUUCAGCAAGGCCCAACUUUGGUUUUAACAUUUGCCUAACAACAACCCAAAAUUUUGCCUAGAGAGUAAUUAACCCGAGGAUCAUCUUUAUUCAACGUCCCCAGGCCCGUGCUCCUCUGAGUGUUGGUCCGAACCUAGUAGACUGCGAGGCCACCUCGAGGAAACUUCAGGGUUGGUUUUACUCGUAGGAUGUCACAUACGGUGUGCCCUGAGAACGAGAUAUGUGCAGCUCCUAUCAGGACUUACCGGCACAUUCAGGCGGUCUUGCUGGUCUUGUUUUAACAUUGUCGAAAUGUCUUGUAACCGGGAUUCCGAGACUGAUCGGGUCUUUCCGGGAGAAGGAAUAUCCUUCGUUGAUCGUGAGCGCUUGUGAUGGGCUAAGUUGGGAGACCCCUGCAGGGUAUAAACUUUUGAGAGCCGUGCCCGUGGUUAUAUAGCAGUUGGGAAUUUUGUUAAUAUCGGGUUGUAGAGAACUUGACACUUGAAUUAAUUAAAAUGCAUCAACCGCAUGUGUAGCCGUGAUGGUCUCUUUUCGGCGGAGUCCGGGAAGUGAACACGGUUUGGGUUAUGUAUGACCGUAAGUAGUUUCAGGAUCACUUCUAGCUUCACAUCCGUUGCGUAGUUUCUCUUCUUACUCUUGUACUCGUUUGUUAGCCACCAUAUUUUGCUUAGCGCUUGCUGCAACUCCACCUCAUUACCUUAUCCUACCCACAAGCUUAAAUAGUCUUGAUCUCGCAGGUUUUGAGAUUGCUGAGUCCUUGUGACUCACAUAUACUACCAAAACAGUUGCAGGUUCCGAUGAUGCCAGUGUAGGUGAUGCCACCGAACUCAAGUGAACAAGACUAUUGAAGCUUGGUUGGGACGAUCGGGCAUCUAGCAUUUGGGGUUAUCUUAUUUUCAUUUGGAUUUGUCCGUAGUUGACUAUGUGUGUACUCUGAAUGAUGUAUGAAUUAUUUGAUCAUUGUGUGACAUGGCGAUUGUAAGCCAACUCUAUUUAUCCCUUUCUUGUUCAUUA